CUCAUCCUCUGUUGCUCCCUUCUCCUCCUGCCCUCAAUCAUUCCCAGCAUCAGGGUCUUUUCUAAUGAGUUGACUCUUUGCAUCAGGUGGCCAAAGUAUUGGAGCUUCAGCUUCAGCAUCAGUCCUGUAGGUAACUAAAACCCAGGAUGGCCAUUCUUUCAGUCAUUUUACCUUUGUCCAUUCAUCUGUCCCUCGUCCAUCCACCCCUAAAGGGCUGUCAGUGGGAAGAGGGGUCAGUCUGGCCUUGUGUUGUGUUAGUCCAGAGAGCAGGGUUAGGAGCUAUGGAUAGGAGCAUGUUGUAGGUGAGAGGUGGAUAAGCAUUGGUGGUUGGACCUGAGGGCUCUGCAGUCAGUCUGCCUGUGUCUGAGUCCCUGUUCACCUCUCACCCUGUGACUGGGGUGGAUAACCUCCCUGCGCUUCAGGUUUGUCAUCUGUCAGAUGAUGUUUAUCAUAACACCUACUUCAUACUUGGUGGUAAGGAUUGAGUUAGUUCUUGUGCUUAGAAGCAUUUUAUUUAUUUAUUUUUUUGGUGACUGCUGAAUGCGUGAUUACUCUUACCUGGAGGUGGGAGAUGAGGUGGUAUUUUGUCUCAGAAUAAUGUCCAAGAUUGCAGUGCUCUCAGAAGGGGCUCUGGCACCUCCUGGAGCCCGCGCUCCCCGCCGUUGGCCAGGUGGCAGCCCCUGCUGGGGACCCUGCAGGCCGAGGGCUCACCCCCACUCUGCCAGGAGGGCGGCACUGAUAGCCUCCAGAGUCUCCAUCUCCAGCUGUCCGCGCGCCCCUCAGCAACCUCUGUGAGAUGUCUUGCUCUUAAUCCUUUUUACCCAAGGAAAACUCUUUUUUGCCCUUUUACAUCUUCUGUUGACAUUUAAAACUCCUUCCCUUUGUUCUGACCUUAUUGAAUAGAGAGCAUAAUUUCUUGGAAUUCUCUGUAUAAUGAAUGCUCAUGUACUUACAGAUUCUGGUCAAGUUUCUCCUCAACCUUUACUUUGAGGGAACUUGCAUCAUUUGGUACAGAAAAAAUUUUAGGAAGCACUUAGAAGGAUGGUGUAAGAUGAAAAUGCUGCCUUAGCUCUCACUAUUUCUGCACAUGUGAACCCCUUGUAAUACAGAUACCAGCCAAGUUACCCUGCUCUUAGCGAUUGCAUUGAAAUUGGUUCAGACUCCUCUAAUUGCAUAUGGUAGGAAUGCUGCAGGCUUCUCAGGCCCUCUUCAAGUUUUCCUGAAGCUGACAGGGUGGGGAGAUCUGUGUGGGUGGGACUGUCUCCUCAAAUCAUUCCUGGCUCCUCUUUCAUGCCUGCAGUAGAUGACAUCAGCUUGUACAUCACACUGGCCUGCUUUGUCAUCUCUGUGACACAGUGUCUCACCUGCAGGACAAAUGGUCCAAUCCCCUCACUCUUCUAAAUACUCCCACCAGGAUUCAGGAUGUAGGGAGAUUUUGACUGAAGUACUGGGGCAAAGAAGGGAAUAUUUGGAGACAGGCAUAGAAGGAGAACACCAGAUGGACAUGAAGACAGCCAUCUGCAAGUCAAGAAGAGAGGUCUGGAACAGAUCCUUUCCUCACUGCCCUUGGGAGCAACCAGUCCUGCCCUGAUUUCAGGCUUUUGGCUUCCAAAACUGUGAGACAGUACAUAUCUAUCUAUCUACCACCCAGUUUGUGGUACUUUGUUACAGGCAGCCCUAGAAAACUAACACAUAAUUCUACUCAAACUCUUCCAGGAAAUCAAAGAAGAGGAAACGUUUUCCAGUUUGUUCUAUGAGGCUACCUUGGUACCAAAGCAAGAGAAGGAAGUAAUAGACUAGUAUCUCAUGAACAUGGAUGUAAAAUUUUUAAAUAAAAUUUAGCAAAUCAA